rnacentral:rRNA from 1 species
UCAUAUGUACAUGUCUACAACGCUAAUGCAUCGGAUCCCAUUAGAACGUUGUAGUUAAGCGUGCUUGGGCUAGAGUAGUACUGGGAUGGGUGACCUCUUGGAAAGUCCUAGUGUUUUACAUGCC